GGCUGCGAGGGCGAUCUGAAACAACAUCCGUUAUCCCCUUGAUUUCCAGGGUUGAUUUGGUUGAUCCGGCUGGCUGGACAGGUGUCCCCUUCCUCCCUCAAUACUCCAUGUGCGUUCCUCCUAAAGCUGUGCUGCAUGCUUGAAGAGGACAGCGACCCCAGUAGGGGACCAUUUCUUGGUCAAGGUAAUAUGAGGAGCUGCACUUCCGGUUAGAACCUCCAAACAAGCUCUCAAGAAAAAGAUACAGUGUAGCAUCUAAUCAGUUAUUAUAGGUGUCUAAACAUGUGGAAGAAAAUUU
rnacentral:snRNA from 1 species